UACGUAGGGUGCGAGCGUUAAUCGGAAUUACUGGGCGUAAAGCGUGCGCAGGCGGUUGUGCAAGACCGAUGUGAAAUCCCCGGGCUUAACCUGGGAAUGGCAUUGGUGACUGCACGGCUAGAGUGUGUCAGAGGGGGGUAGAAUUCCACGUGUAGCAGUGAAAUGCGUAGAGAUGUGGAGGAAUACCGAUGGCGAAAGCGACUCUCUGGACGGCAACUGACGCUGAGGCACGAAAGCGUGGGGAGCAAACAGG
rnacentral:rRNA from 1 species